UACGGAGGGUGCAAGCGUUAUCCGGAUUCACUGGGUUUAAAGGGAGCGUAGGUGGGGUGGUAAGUCAGUGGUGAAAUCUCCGGGCUUAACUCGGAAACUGCCGUUGAUACUAUCAUUCUUGAAUAUUGUGGAGGUAAGCGGAAUAUGUCAUGUAGCGGUGAAAUGCUUAGAUAUGACAUAGAACACCAAUUGCGAAGGCAGCUUACUACGGAUUGAUUGACACUGAGGCACGAAAGCGUGGGGAUCAAACGGG
rnacentral:rRNA from 1 species